GGGCCAUAAUUGCAAUUGCAGACUUUCCGUGCACAGUUCAGGGUAAUUUGGAAAUCUGGGUGGACUGAGAGCCGUAUUGACUAUUUUUAAAGAAAAAAAAACAAUUAGAAACCAUUGACCGAUGAAAGAAAAAUGAUGAUUUCAAUAAAGUGUUCUUUUUUUCUUUCACUGAAAUAUAACAAUAAAUCGACACCCUGUUCAAAGCCUUGUCUGGCCCUCUGCAAUGGAUGCUCAGAAACAAGCAACUUUUCACGUAAAACGUAACUCACCAAAGUUCUUGAAGCAAACUGUUCAACAAAGGAUGGUUCAUCAUUCCCUCUGCCUGACGGGUGUAGGAGCACAUCGGCAUGUUCUUCAGGCAUUUUAGAUCAAGAAGAGUAAACACUGUGAAAGACCAGAAGGCAUUUGGAUGUCAUUUACAGGGUGCUUGGGCAGAGAAGCGGCCGAGUGCCCUGUGGUGCAGGCCAGGUGCUAAACCGUCUGUAGGCUGACCCCCACCUUGACUCAGCCCUCUCCCCACACCGCUGCUGUCUCAUCUGCGCAACGUGCUUUGCACAUUCUGAUCUCUACUCAGUUGCCUAUGCCUACUGCUCCCUGCAUUACAGAUGGGAUGACAGAAGCUGAAGAACUUUGCAGAGAGCAAACAGUAUCAUUACAUUAAUUAAACCAAUGACUAAAAUUGUUCCCUGACGAUAAAGACCCAAUGCCGGGCAUCAUGGGAGUGAGACAACAACAAUGUGAAUUAUAUUCGUUGACUGUGCUCUGUAUGCCAGAUGCUGCAUGGGAAGGACCUCAUUUUACACUGGUAGUGAAGCCACAGGCAAUGAUCCCAGGACAGCCCUAGGGACCGGGGCUUUGAGGGGAAUUACUGAUCUAAAGUCCACUACCAGGAAGAACAGGACUGGGCUAUGAGGUAUCAUUCAUUUGCCUGACUACGCAGUUGAUACUUUUUUGUUUCACUAAAUAGUGGGUGCCGAUUUCAAGAAACUUAAACUUUCAACUUGGAUUUGUAGAGAUGAUAAAAAAUGUGAUGCCAGACAUAAAUGGCAGGUAAGUAUUUAGAAGCAGAGGCUGAAGUUAUCUUGAAUAGAGAGAGCAUCACUGUCAGCUUAGAUGUGACAGGGGAGUCUCCGUAAGAUGGAAAGACACAAUUAUGUUACAUGAUACUAGUGAAGAGCAUCCCUGCAGGGGACGUGGUCAGUUGUAGAAAACACACAAGGCAUAAGCUUAUGCAAACAUACACAUGGAUAGGAAAUAGGGGUGCGUGUGUGUUAUUUAAAAGGACAGUGUAACCCAGUCUCACCAAAAAAAAAAAUUUCUUUUAAGACCAUGUCUGUCCAAGUGGUUUGGUUCAAAAGGGUUGGAAAGUUUGACUGAAAUAAAAUCAGGCAGGUUUCUUUAAUACA
rnacentral:lncRNA from 12 species